GCAGUCGAGCGGUAGCACAGAGAGCUUGCUCUCGGGUGACGAGCGGCGGACGGGUGAGUAAUGUCUGGGAAACUGCCUGAUGGAGGGGGAUAACUACUGGAAACGGUAGCUAAUACCGCAUAACGUCGCAAGACCAAAGUGGGGGACCUUCGGGCCUCAUGCCAUCAGAUGUGCCCAGAUGGGAUUAGCUAGUAGGUGGGGUAACGGCUCACCUAGGCGACGAUCCCUAGCUGGUCUGAGAGGAUGACCAGCCACACUGGAACUGAGACACGGUCCAGACUCCUACGGGAGGCAGCAGUGGGGAAUAUUGCACAAUGGGCGCAAGCCUGAUGCAGCCAUGCCGCGUGUGUGAAGAAGGCCUUCGGGUUGUAAAGCACUUUCAGCGGGGAGGAAGGCGUUAAGGUUAAUAACCUUGGCGAUUGACGUUACCCGCAGAAGAAGCACCGGCUAACUCCGUGCCAGCAGCCGCGGUAAUACGGAGGGUGCAAGCGUUAAUCGGAAUUACUGGGCGUAAAGCGCACGCAGGCGGUCUGUCAAGUCGGAUGUGAAAUCCCCGGGCUCAACCUGGGAACUGCAUUCGAAACUGGCAGGCUAGAGUCUUGUAGAGGGGGGUAGAAUUCCAGGUGUAGCGGUGAAAUGCGUAGAGAUCUGGAGGAAUACCGGUGGCGAAGGCGGCCCCCUGGACAAAGACUGACGCUCAGGUGCGAAAGCGUGGGGAGCAAACAGGAUUAGAUACCCUGGUAGUCCACGCCGUAAACGAUGUCGAUUUGGAGGUUGUGCCCUUGAGGCGUGGCUUCCGGAGCUAACGCGUUAAAUCGACCGCCUGGGGAGUACGGCCGCAAGGUUAAAACUCAAAUGAAUUGACGGGGGCCCGCACAAGCGGUGGAGCAUGUGGUUUAAUUCGAUGCAACGCGAAGAACCUUACCUGGUCUUGACAUCCACAGAACUUUCCAGAGAUGGAUUGGUGCCUUCGGGAACUGUGAGACAGGUGCUGCAUGGCUGUCGUCAGCUCGUGUUGUGAAAUGUUGGGUUAAGUCCCGCAACGAGCGCAACCCUUAUCCUUUGUUGCCAGCGGUUCGGCCGGGAACUCAAAGGAGACUGCCAGUGAUAAACUGGAGGAAGGUGGGGAUGACGUCAAGUCAUCAUGGCCCUUACGACCAGGGCUACACACGUGCUACAAUGGCAUAUACAAAGAGAAGCGACCUCGCGAGAGCAAGCGGACCUCAUAAAGUAUGUCGUAGUCCGGAUUGGAGUCUGCAACUCGACUCCAUGAAGUCGGAAUCGCUAGUAAUCGUAGAUCAGAAUGCUACGGUGAAUACGUUCCCGGGCCUUGUACACACCGCCCGUCACACCAUGGGAGUGGGUUGCAAAAGAAGUAGGUAGCUUAACCUUCGGGAGGGCGCU
rnacentral:rRNA from 1 species